rnacentral:rRNA from 1 species
GUAGGUGAACCUGCGGAAGGAUCAUUAACACAUGCGAAAGCAUUAAUAAUCCAACCUUAUAUUAGAUGAAAUUUGCACUUAGCACCGCUUGCACCAUUUGUUAUUUGAUGACAUACCUUUAAACGGGAAUGUGCAAGGACUUGAGUGCUAAGUGUUAUUUUUACUUAUUUCUUCAUAAUAUUCAGAUUGAAUUUUUGAAAAAAAAGAAAAUUUUCAACGAUGGAUAUCUGGGUUCCCAUAACGAUGAAGAACGCAGCGAAAUGCGAUACGCAAUGCGAAUAGCAGAGCUCCGCGAGACAUCAGAUCUUUGAACGCAAAUGGCGCUGGUUUACCAGCAUGUUUGUUUCAGUGUGUUAGGAGAGUAAAACAAUCAUUUAUGAGAAUGCGAUUGAAACCUAACAGUUUCUUUCGUUAAAUAUGAAAGUGUGAGGGUCUUCACACUCGUAAACGAAGUAGUCACAAUUCAUUGUGAUCUCGUUUACGAAGAAGAAUCCUAUUAGCACUUACUAAAAAUCAUCUCCUAUUUCAACACCUGAAAUCAAGCAAGAACACCCGCUGAACUUAAGCAUAUCAGUA